rnacentral:rRNA from 1 species
AGGGAUCAUUACACAAAUAUGAAGGCGGGCUGGAACCUCUCGGGGUUACAGCCUUGCUGAAUUAUUCACCCUUGUCUUUUGCGUACUUCUUGUUUCCUUGGUGGGUUCGCCCACCACUAGGACAAACAUAAACCUUUUGUAAUUGCAAUCAGCGUCAGUAACAAAUUAAUAAUUACAACUUUCAACAACGGAUCUCUUGGUUCUGGCAUCGAUGAAGAACGCAGCGAAAUGCGAUAAGUAGUGUGAAUUGCAGAAUUCAGUGAAUCAUCGAAUCUUUGAACGCACAUUGCGCCCUUUGGUAUUCCAAAGGGCAUGCCUGUUCGAGCGUCAUUUGUACCCUCAAGCUUUGCUUGGUGUUGGGCGUCUUGUCUCUAGCUUUGCUGGAGACUCGCCUUAAAGUAAUUGGCAGCCGGCCUACUGGUUUCGGAGCGCAGCACAAGUCGCACUCUCUAUCAGCAAAGGUCUAGCAUCCAUUAAGCCUUUUUUUCAACUUUUGACCUCGGAUCAGGUAGGGAUACCCGCUG